rnacentral:rRNA from 1 species
UACGAAGGGGGCUAGCGUUGCUCGGAAUCACUGGGCGUAAAGGGUGCGUAGGCGGGUCUUUAAGUCAGGGGUGAAAUCCUGGAGCUCAACUCCAGAACUGCCUUUGAUACUGAGGAUCUUGAGUACGGGGAGAGGUGAGUGGAACUGCGAGUGUAGAGGUGAAAAUUCGUAGAUAUUCGCAAAGAACACCAGUGGCGAAGGCGGCUCACUGGCCCGUUACUGACGCUGAGGCACGAAAAGCGUGGGGGGAGCAAAACAG